UAAAAGUUUUAUUCUGGCUUUCAAAUUUGUUUUUAGAUUAUUUCACAUGCAAUUUUUGUUUAUGCUUAAAGCUUAGUAUUUGCAGUGAUUGAUAUUAUUAAUUAAAUAACUUUAGAGAUAGUAAUUUUAAUUAGAACUGACUUAAUUUGUGCCAGCAGUCGCGGUUAUACAAAGAGUUCAAAUAAAUUUUAUUAGCUUAAGUUAAAUGAGGUUUUAAUUUUAUAAUAAAAUUGGAUUUUAUUUAGGUGAAAUUUUUAUAGUUUAUUAAUUUAUAUAAUUAUUAUCUAGGUUGAAGCUUGUAAAUUUUAAAUUUAAACUAGGAUUAGAUACCCUAUUAUUUAGAAUGUAAAAUAUUGGGAGGCUUGAGUAGUAAUAGUUAUGGUCUUGAAACUUAAAGAAUUUGGCGGUAUUUUAGUCUAUUCAGAGGAACCUGUUAAUUAAUCGAUGAUCCACGAUGGACCUCACUUAAAUUUGUUUUAUCAGCUUGUAUACCGCCGUUAUUGAAGAUUCUAUUAGGAGAAUAAUUUUCUUUAAUUUAUUUUAAAAUUUAUGUCAGGUCAAGGUGCAGCUUAUGUUUAAGUUUAUAAUGGGUUACAAUAAGAUUACUUAUACGGAAAUUGGAAUUUAAUUUUUGGUUUAAGGUGGAUUUGAUAGUAAAAUUAUAUAGAUAGAUGAUUUGAUUUUAGCUCUAAAAUAUGUACACAUCGCCCGUCGCUCUUACUAUUAAAGUAAGAUAAGUCGUAACAUAGUAGAUGUACUGGAAAGUGUAUCUAGAAUAA
rnacentral:rRNA from 1 species